rnacentral:sRNA from 1 species
AGAUUUUUUUGGUAGGAAAAAGAUGUUACAUGAUUUUAGUUUUCAUAAAAUAAUUUAAAGGAUGAUGGGGAAAUAAAAAGAAAACCAAAACCAUGAAAUAAUUUUAUGUGUGAUGUUGAUUCCUUUAUCGUUGGUGUGAAACACAAUGUUUUAGAAGAAGAAUGGCUGAUUUUCAGUUCAAAUACGUCACUACAACUGCAGUGUCUUCAGUGGAAUUGUAUUUAUGCUUAAAAGUAGUCACUGAAAUAAUUUAACAGAGAAAUUGUAUUUGGAGUUUAGAUUUUCCAAUGUUUUGUUGACAUACUGGUAUAUCUAUCUGUGCUUCUUGGUCAGCUCUGUGUGAAUCAUUUGCUGCAACAUGUUAGUUAGUAUGAUGCAGAAACAAAAGAAAAGUAUUUGUUAAUCAAAUCUAAUACUGGUGAAAUCCUCGCACAGUGCUUCUGAAAUAUGGCUUCAUCCAAUCUGACAUGAUUAAUAUAGGGUUUAUAGAACUUCAAUAUGAUACAAUUGUUUCCUCAGUAUUUCCACUUAACUGCAGUUUUGUAUGGUGGGUUGUUUUUUAUUUUUGGUCACAAUACAAUAAAUUGUAUGAAUGUGAUUAGUACAUAAUUAUAAAUAAUUUAAGAACUAAUGGAAUUAAUGCUGAUCUAACAGAUCAAUGGAUUGUACAGUGGUACUUUGAUAAAUAUUAUGAUUCUUAUUUAUUGCUGUAGAUGUAGACAUUCUAUUUGUGCAUUGCUCUUCAUUUUCAGUGUGUGAUGUUUGGUAUAACAUGGUCCACCAUUUAUAAACAUUCAGUUGAUUAGCAAAUGAGUUUUAUUAGUAGAAAUGGUUACCGGUAAAUUCCAUUACAGAAAAUACAGGAUUUCAAAUGCAUGUACCGGUAAAUAUAUUUUGAUAUAUUUCCCUUUUACUGGAAAACCUUUUAUUGUAAAGAUUGUUAUAAUUUUUGUAUCAUGAAAACAUACUGCCGAUUUUUUAAAUUUUUUGGUUAAGUGAGAAUCAUAGUGCAUUUUUAAGAAUAUUAAAGCAAUGAUCAUGAAAAAAAAACUAUGUUGUGAAGUCCUUUGGCAUCACUGGGCUUAAUCCCAAGUAGAUGUUGUGGCAAUUUUGUAAUUUUAUGAGUUUCAUUUUGUGAAAGUCCUUUUUAGUCGCUUUUUAAAAUCUUGAGCUUUUAAACUGAAAUUUUUUAAAAAUUUGACCACUGGAGACUAUAAGAUUUCUCCAAAAGCAUACAUUUCUUUUUACAACCCCUGUUAUAUAAUGUUAAUAUUUGGAUUUUAAUUGAUAGCAAAGAUUUUAAAUGCAUGGGUAAUGAGACAGUUGAUGGAGUCUAAAUGUGUCUUUUAAACUUGCAUGCAGAGUAUAAUUCACGAAAAAGUUAAACUUCUAAGAUAGAUGAAUGUUUGUUAAGCAUUAUAUUUAUUUGCACAAAUCAAAUGUGCGGGCCAUAUUGCAUGUGUUUGUUUCAUUUGUUUCAUAAGUUUGUUUUCUUUGUAAAAGCAAUGGUUGUAAGACAAUUCUAGCCAAAUCUUAAUUGACAUAAUAAAUAUGAUGUGAAACUU